rnacentral:rRNA from 1 species
UAAUUGAAGAGUUUGAUCAUGGCUCAGAUUGAACGCUGGCGGCAGGCCUAACACAUGCAAGUCGAGCGGCAGCACAGAGGAACUUGUUCCUUGGGUGGCGAGCGGCGGACGGGUGAGUAAUGCCUGGGAAAUUGCCCGGUAGAGGGGGAUAACCAUUGGAAACGAUGGCUAAUACCGCAUAACCUCGUAAGAGCAAAGC